CAGACAUCACCUCCUCCAGCCUAUUUAUAUAAGCAGCCACUUUUCCGUGGCACAGGGGGUCUUCUCUCUUGGCUUUGGAGCUCCCCAUUCCUCUGUGUCUGUAACAGGGGAGCUUCUUCCUUCUUUCUUCUCCCUUCUUUCUUGCCUGUUAAACUCUCUGCUUCUUAAAACCACUCCAUGUAUGUCCAGGUCAUUUUAUCUAAUUUGGAGACGGAGAACCCUGGUGUUCCUCUGCUCAUCAGAGCCGUCUCACCUGCAAGGGCCAGGAUCCAGCACUAGGGCUGCCCUUUAUGUUCAUGCAGCCUCCACUAGGAAGAUCCUCCUUAGCUGCCACCUGCUGUAAAGGGAUCUAUCUAUCUAUCUGUCUAUCUAUCUAUCUAUCUAUCUUUCUAUCUACCUGUCGAGAGAGAGAGAGGUUUAUUAUAAGGAAUUGACUCAUGUGAUUAUGGAGGCUGAGAAGUUCCACAGUCUGCUGUCUGCAAGCUGGAGACCCAGGAAGGCUGCUGGUGCCGUUCCAGUUUGAUUCUGAAGGCCUGAGAACCAGAACUGAUGCCCACUCAACAUGAAGAUGACAAGGAUGAAGACCUUUAUGAUGAUCCAUUCCCACUUACUGAAUAAACUUCACCAGGACCCAGGAAAUAAGAUUUGAUUGCUGCACACUUAGAAACAAUGGCAAUCAAGGGAAAUGCCCCAUCUUACAUGGAGCUCUUCUAGUGGAAACACCAUGGUUGCCACCACGUACUGCUCCGUACCUAAGUUUCUAGGAACCAGACUCUGGAAACUCUUCUAGAACUGCCCCAGGAGAACCAACGUGUCUGUUGCUUGCAAAGACCUCCAGUGUCCCUGAGCCUGGCCACUGCCUCCCAUUGCUCAAACCCUCCUAGUCUCGUAUGUGGACAUCUGCUUGGAAGAAUCUCAUCCACGUACAAAAUCCUGGCUCUGGAUGAAGCUUCUUGGUGAUGUAACAGUCUGUGGAAACUCCCACAGGACAAAUGCAGAAAGGAAGGACCUAGAUCACUGGAUGGUCAACGUUGCCCCUUGCACAGCAGCAAAGGCCUAUACAAAUUUUUUGAGUAGCUUUAUCUAGUGGUUCAGCUACUGGGAAUAACUUGUAAAAUCCCCUGGAUAGUCAACAGCAUUGGGGCUUGCUUUGUAAACAGAGACCUGACCUACUUAAUUCUUCCCAGAGGUUGGAAAAAGAGGCUGGACUCACACAGACAUGAAACCUUGGCUUAAUUGGACACUAAUUACUCAUAAGAGAUCUGUUUACCCGAACUUCCCCUAGACCAAGCUCAGUAUAAAAUGAGAGGAUGCAUAAAGAAGCAAGAUAUUUAGAGGAAAAUGUCACAAAUACAUUUAUCAGUCCCAAAAGUCCUUUUUUUUCCCCAGAAGUGAUGUUGCUAAUUGCACAAAAAUAAACAAUACAGGGGUUGAUAAAUUCCACAUUUAAGGGCUGAGGAUAGUGUCCCUACAUUUCUAAGAAGCUGUAUAUUUGGAAAUGAAUACAAUUGAAAGUAAGGAUAAGUGGCAUUCUAAAGCCAAUUGGAUAACUUGAAUGAACAAGCAGAAUUUACCAUAUUUUGAUAUGUUUCUUUUUGAUUAAAGUAUCUGUAAAGGAAACAAAUUAUAGUAUUGCUAUAGAUUUUAUUACUGAACAAGAAAAAAAGGCUUGAUGUUGUGCAUUUCCUUUUGGCCUUUGGUCUUGGCUGAUAUUGGGCAUCCAAUGAGCUUCUUUGUCUUGAAUGAAGACUUAAGAGGGAGUGAAAAGUAGGAAGAGCAUCAAAACUUCUUUGCAGGAUGUAAUCAAACCACCUACUACUUAUUGUCUUACGAUCCAUUUAUUCAACAAAUGGAACAUCUCAAUUGCUUGAUGCUAUUACAGACACUAGGUAUAGUCUUAGAAAAACAAAUUGCUGUUUUUAUAUAGCUUGUGUUAUGGGUUGAUGUAGUACAGUCAAAAUUAUUUAAAUAAAGGAAGAUGUGAGGAAGACUUUGAACUUAGAAAUCUGGGUUCUCAUCCAAGCUUUGCUGCUAGCUUGUUGGGGGAACCUUGGGUGAUGAGUUGGUUGACUCCUUCCAGAUCUCAGCGUUCAUCCAUCAAGUGAGGGAACUUGACCAGAUAUUCAAUAAUGGCCCUUCCAGCCCCAUCUCUAUAUGAAAGGGAAACCACAGUAUGGGCCCAUGGGGAAGAUCAUGGACUUUGGAGUAAAACAUUUCUGGCUUGGUCAAUUAUUUAAUCUCUUGAUCCCGAUCAAUUCAUGUAACUACUCUGACCCUCAGUUUCCUUGCUGCAAAAUGAGAUACUAAUAUUUGCUCAAAUAAGAUAACAGGCAAAACAAUCAUGAGGGCUCCUGGCACACCACUGUGCAUGGCUUUUGCUCCCUUGGGGAGCUUAUAAAUGAAAAAAAGAUUUUACAAUGCAAAGACAGUAAGCAUUUUGUUAGUGAAGCAACAAAAUAAUUGGGCAAUUUCCUCUCAAUUGCACCAUCAACUGAUGCCCAACCUAGAAAGCAUUUGGCUAAGAAUGGAAAAGGAAUCUUUGCCCAGAUCCCUCAAUUUUGACCAUCAUGGCAUAUACAUGAAUUGGCAGACUAAAUUUAUGCUCCUUUUGAAAACUGUGUCCAUUCCAAGAAGUCAGGCUAUUUUCACCCAGCCUGGUCUAGGCAGUGGGACUCCCCAAGGCUACAAGCAGAGCCACAGUGCUCUGGGCUGGGCUGCCACACUGUCAUGCUGGGGCAAAGAUGGCAGCAGACAGCUCUCUUGGGUAACAGCAGGAAGCUCUUUUCACAAGAGUGAUCUCAUCUCUUAGGGGACUAUGGUAGAAACACAGGGCAAAAGCUAUAGGAAUGGUCCAACAUAAUAACUGUUUUUUUUUUUAAUUUUCAAAACAUGAUAAAUGAUUAAGAAUAUAAAACUGGAAUUUAGAACUUACAGAGAACUUGUAUGAAUAAAUUAAAAAGACAACCUAAUUUUAAAAUGGGCAGAAGUCUUGGGCAGGCACAUUACAAUAUAGCAGGGGUCACCAAAUUAAAGCCUCACCAGCAAAAUCCACCUCCCAUCCCAGCCUGUUUUUAUAAAUAAGCUGUGUUGGAACACAGCCAAUCCCAUUCAUUCACACAUUGCCCAUGGCUGCUUUUGCUUGACAACAGCAUAGUUGAGUAGUAGGGACAAGACCAUAUGACCUCCAAAGCCAGAGAUAUUAACUGUCAGGCCCUUUAUAGAGUGAUUCACGGAGACCCCCAUAAUAGAGGAAAAUACAAGUGGCCAAUAGCACAUAAGAAGAUGCCCAGUAUUACAGCCAAGAGGAAAAUGCAAAUUACACCCACAGUAAGAUACCAUUAUGCAUCCAUUAGAAAGGCUAAAAUUAAAAGGACUGACAACAACAAGUGUUGACAAUGGUGGGUAACAGCAAGAGCUCUCAUACACUGAUGGUUGAAGUGUAAAUUGGUUCAGUUUUGGAAAAGAGUUUGGAGGUGUCUACUACAGUUAAACAUACAUAUUUCCAUGCCCCAGAAACUCCUGGGCAUAUUCUCAAAAGAAACGAGGGCUGUGGCCACCAAGAGACAUGUGUGAGAAAGGUCCUAGCACCUUUAUAUAUCAUAGUCCCAAACAGAAAACAACACAUACCCAUCCACGUUAGGAUGAACUAAAUAAAUUGGGGCAUAUGCAUUCAAUGGAAUAGUACAUAGCAAUGAAAAAAUAAACUGUUGCCCCAUGCAAAGAUGUUUUACAGACAUAACGUUAAGCAGAAGAAAGCAGAUCUCAAGGAGCCCACAUUGUACAAUUCCGAUCUAUAUGAAGCUCAAUAACACAUGGUACUAGAAGUUGUAAUAGCAGUUACCUGUAGGACUGGAGGUUUGUAUUGAAAGAGAAGGAACAUCAGGAAGUCUGCUGGAGCCUGGAAAUGUCUGAGAUGUUGCUCUGGGAGGCAGUUGCAUGGCUGUAGACAUAUGUAAGACAUUAUUGGAUGGUAUACCUGAGAUUGGAGCACCUACAAUAGAAGGUACAGUGUUACAUCUCAGU
rnacentral:lncRNA from 1 species